ACGCACGCUGGCGGCGUGCUUCACCCCUGCCAGUCGCACGGAAAGGCCCUGCUUUUGUGGGGUGCUCGAGUGGCGAACGGGUGAGUAACACGUGAGUAACCUGCCCUUGACUUUGGGAUAACUUCAGGAAACUGGGGCUAAUACCGGAUAGGAGCUCCUGCUGCAUGGUGGGGGUUGGAAAGUUUCGGCGGUUGGGGAUGGACUCGCGGCUUAUCAGCUUGUUGGUGGGGUAGUGGCUUACCAAGGCUUUGACGGGUAGCCGGCCUGAGAGGGUGACCGGCCACAUUGGGACUGAGAUACGGCCCAGACUCCUACGGGAGGCAGCAGUGGGGAAUAUUGCACAAUGGGCGGAAGCCUGAUGCAGCAACGCCGCGUGCGGGAUGACGGCCUUUGGGUUGUAAACCGCUUUCGCCUGUGACGAAGCGUGAGUGACGGUAAUGGGUAAAGAAGCACCGGCUAACUACGUG
rnacentral:rRNA from 1 species